AUGGGGGCUUGCGAACCUGGUCAGGGCGGGAACGCAGCAGCCAUAAGCAUCGCCUUCAUGCGCGCGGGAGCACCUCCCCGG
rnacentral:SRP_RNA from 1 species